GAUGUCCCGCUCUGCGUGGUCUUCCUUUUUUUCUCUUCCACCGCGCAAAUGGUCCCGGUUCUUGGCCGGGUCACUGGCUUGGUGACUCUCACGUACCUUCUGUCGCCCUGUGAACUGCACUGGUCCUUGGAGUCGUUGGGUGGGACUUAGACCCAGAAAACCUCGAAAUGCUCCUCUCAGCUUAGGUUGCUGAAGAUUCCACUUUAGACUACUGUGACCUAGAAAACAUGGCACACUGUUACCCCAGCUCCCACUCAAGAGGACUGUUUUCCUAGAAAGAACAGACUUCAACUUUUCAAACCGGCCCCCACUGCCUGUUGCUGGAGGUUAAUACUUGCUGGGUGACUCUUCUUACAAACUUGGAACACGAUUCUUUUAUUCCCCACACAUGGAACAGAGGUGAUGCCUUUGUGUGCACGGACAAUACAGGGUGUUGAUUCCCCUUUUCCCAGCAGAUGAGGUGGCUGUAUCGUAAGUCAUUCCUGAGGUGCCUGAAGAUACAAUCAAGAGGACCACUGGCUGCUGUCUCCCCUCCAUUGAGCACUCAGCUCUUAGGAUGGGAUUGUCAUUCAGAGAGGCUUCCUAUUACCCCCAAACAGCUCCAGGAUUGGCACAGAGGUUUUUUCCUGAGUACGGGGUGGUGGGGUGUAGGUGGGUGGGUGGGAAGCGAGCUCUGACUACCUUUUCAAAGAAUUAAAGUGCCUGGCAAAAGAUUAUGAAAAGUGGAAGUCAAAGGACACUAGCAAAAAAGUGAAAAAUGAGGUGAAAAUCAGUUAGGAGUAGAUUCUGUAUUUAAUGAAAGUAGCCUAACCUGUACACUGCCUAGUUUUCUGGGUAGAAUUGGGAACUUAGAGUGCUGAGAGGAGGAUUCCAAGGGUUAAACAAAUAUCACAUACUGAUUUUGGGAAAUAUUUCUACAAAGGAACCAGAAUUGCAUUGAAUAAAUUGGAGAGUAAAUUAUGCCCUUUCCUGCUCUCCUCCCCCUCCCUGCCACGUGUCGGUGAAAACAGUCGAGCCAUCAGCCACAGAUUGAUUUAAUUUCACCACUGGGUGAGGUCCGUGAAAGAGCAAGAGAGCCUCACCAAUGGUCCUGUCAUCCCAGGAUACAGCGGGUUUACCCAAAGCUGUGCCCAACCUGAGGACCUGUGUUAGAGGUUUCACUCUGUCUGGGGUGUGGUGAGAAAAACCACUUUUCGAAAAACUGCUUUUGUCUUUCCUAGUCACUGCCUAGGCAUUUUACAGUAUGAUAACCCUGCUGACACCCAGAAUCUGGACAUUUAGAUAAAGACUUGAGUUUAGGAUUCCACUCUUGGUUCCUGCUAAGGUUUUCUCAGGACAUUUAUUAAAAUAACCACUUAGAGGGACUUCCCUGGCGGUCCAGUGGCUGAGACUCUGCGCUUCCAAUGCAGGGGGCGCAGGUUCCAUCCCUGGUUGUGAAACUAAGAUCCCACCUGCUGCCAGGUGUGGCCCCAAACAAACAAACAACAACAAAAACAAACAAACAAUAAAACCACUUAGAGUUAUGCUUGUGAAAAGUUAGUGACCUCUGCACUGUGGAUGAAGACUGUUAUCUGCCAUAUCAGUAAACAAAGGAUGUUGGGGCCAUCUAGCCAGCAAGCACUGCUGCCACCCCCAAGGGUGCUCCCUGAGGGGAUUCAGGAUGGAGAAGAGCAGGAUACUGGUCCUAGAUAGUAAGGACCAGCAAGGAUAGUAAGUUAAGGUGCAUAUCAAAGGAACGAUUUCAAUGAGCCCAGACUAUUGCAUCUUCCUGUACAUGGAAAAGUGCUAAAUUCAUUAACCUGAGAUAUCUGGUUUUCUUUAAUUAACCAGACUACCUGAUUUUCAUGUUCCAACUACCUGGUUUUUAUUGUAAAAAUUCCUAUGUAUUCUGUCUCCUCCCUGACCUCUUCAGAGCAGUCCCUCAGAGUUAUCUGAGAGACUGUCUCCAGGGCUUGAGUCCUCAGAAGUUCUGCCAAAUAAAACAUAUUUCUCAGGCUUCCCUGGUGGCGCAGUGGUUAAGAGUCUGCCUGCCAAUGCAGGGGACACGGGUUCGAGCCCUGGUCCGGGAAGAUCCCACAUGCCGCAGAGCAACUAAACCUGUGCGCCACAACUACCGAGCCCGCGUGCCACAACUACUGAAGCCUGUGCGCCUAGAGCCCAUGCUCCUCAACAAGACAAGCCACCGCAAUGAGAAGCCCGUGUGCAGCAGCGAAGACCCAACGCAUCCAAAAAUAAAAUAAAAUAAUUAAUUAAUUAAAAAAAUAUUUGUCAACUUU